rnacentral:rRNA from 1 species
AAAUUGAAGAGUUUGAUCAUGGCUCAGAUUGAACGCUGGCGGCAGGCCUAACACAUGCAAGUCGAACGGUAACAGGAAGCAGCUUGCUGCUUCGCUGACGAGUGGCGGACGGGUGAGUAAUGUCUGGGAAACUGCCUGAUGGAGGGGGAUAACUACUGGAAACGGUGGCUAAUACCGCAUAACGUCGCAAGACCAAAGAGGGGGACCUUCGGGCCUCUUACCAUCAGAUGUGCCCAGAUGGGAUUAGCUGGUUGGUGAGGUAACGGCUCACCAAGGCGACGAUCCCUAGCUGGUCUGAGAGGAUGACCAGCCACACUGGAACUGAGACACGGUCCAGACUCCUACGGGAGGCAGCAGUGGGGAAUAUUGCACAAUGGGCGCAAGCCUGAUGCAGCCAUGCCGCGUGUAUGAAGAAGGCCUUCGGGUUGUAAAGUACUUUCAGCGGGGAGGAAGGUGUUGUGGUUAAUAACCGCAGCAAUUGACGUUACCC